rnacentral:tRNA from 1 species
UCCCUGGAGGCCCAGUGAUCAGGACUCUGUGCUUCUAAUGCUGAGGCGCAGGUUUAAUUCCUGGUCAGGGAA